AAUCCAUGAAUCAAACAUUUUUGAACUAACUCUUUAAUUAUUCCCAAGCUUCAUAUAAUAUUUUAUCCUCUGAUUUUUGAAAAGACGUGAUGUCAUUUCUAAGCUU
rnacentral:snoRNA from 1 species